CUUCCAGGCGUCGAGUGGCGGACGGGUGAGUAAUGCUUGGGAAUCUGCCUAAUAGUGGGGGAAAACUCGGGGAAACUCGGGCUAAUACCGCAUAAUCUCUUCGGAGGAAAGGGGGCCUCUACAUGUAAGCCCUCGCUAAUAGAUGAGCCCAAGUCAGAUUAGCUUGUUGGUGAGGUAAUGGCUCACCAAGGCAACGAUCUGUAGCUGGUCUGAGAGGACGAUCAGCCACACUGGGACUGAGACACGGCCCAGACUCCUACGGGAGGCAGCAGUGGGGAAUAUUGCACAAUGGGGGAAACCCUGAUGCAGCAAUGCCGCGUGUGUGAAGAAGGCUUUAGGGUUGUAAAGCACUUUCAAUAGAGAAGAAAAGCUUAGGGUUAAUACCCCUGAGUAUUGACGUAACCUAUAGAAGAAGCACCGGCUAAAUCCGUGCCAGCAGCCGCGGUAAUACGGAUGGUGCGAGCGUUAAUCGGAAUUACUGGGCGUAAAGAGCACGUAGGCUGUUUUAUAAGUCGGAUGUGAAAUCCCCGGGCUUAACCUGGGAACUGCAUCCGAAACUAUUUAACUAGAGUAUGGGAGAGGUAAGUAGAAUUUCCGGUGUAGCGGUGAAAUGCGUAGAUAUCGGAAGGAAUACCAGUGGCGAAGGCGGC
rnacentral:rRNA from 1 species